GUCUAAUGAAAUUAUAUGGUAGUGGAUGCACCAGAAGCUGGCUUUUACAACUCAUAGGUGCUGCAGGUAAGAAUAGCACAUGUAUGCUAUCAAGCUCUCCAUGUGAGGUUUUUUUAUAUUCUAUUUAAAUGUCAUAUAUGAUGAUAAAGGAUUACAGCAUGCACUGUACAUGUUAUGGAGCCAGCUCGGGAAUUCUGAUCUCCUAAAAACUAAAUCAUAACUUUUAAGGAAGGAUAGCCUUUUUGAGUAUUUCACACUCUCACCCACUUAAAGAUUUUUAUCACUUUUACACCCAUGCAUUUUUGUUGAGUUUGCUUUAAAUUAAUCUUUUGAAUUGUGGAAAAGGUCACACAAACGUUUAGGGUUUUAAUUUCUUAUAUCUGGUGGUGUUAAUAAGAUGUUUUAAUCAAUACGAAAUACAUUCAAGAUUUAUAUUUUUGUAUCCAUCUUUCACAAACAUGUAGGCUACAUUAAUGUACGUCAAAAUUCUUGAAUAUAUGACAGCAACAUAUACAUGUUCUAAUCUGUGAUAAAAGGAUAUAAAAAAGACAAUAUGUCCAGCAUUAUCUUUGAAUUCCUUCAAAAUUCUAUGAUAUUACUAUCAAAUAAUUCAAACAAGCUAUGAAGAAAAGACUUCAUAUUUUUAAUGUGUCUUUGUUCACAAACACUUGGAACAUAAGAAAUGUUCUUUGACAAAAUAUGAUGUGCCAAGUGUGCCCCUGUGUUUCAAACAAGUUUAAAUAAAAGUUUUCAAGUUCAA